rnacentral:rRNA from 1 species
CCUACGGGUGGCUGCAGUAGGGAAUCUUCCACAAUGGGCGAAAGCCUGAUGGAGCAACGCAGCGUGCGUGAUGAAGGUCUUCGGAUCGUAAAACCCUGUUGUUAGAGAAGAAAAUGCGUGAGAGUAACUGUUCACGUUUCGACGGUAUCUAACCAGAAAGCCACGGCUAACUACGUGCCAGCAGCCGCGGUAAUACGUAGGUGGCAAGCGUUAUCCGGAUUUAUUUGGCGUAAAGGGAACGCAGGCGGUCUGUUAAGUCUGAUGGGAAAGCCUUCGGCUUAACCGGAGUAGUGCAUUGGAUACUGGGAGACUUGAGUUCAGAAGAGGAGAGCGGAAUGCCAUGUGUAGCGGUGAAAUGCGUAGAUAUAUGGAAGAACACCAGUGGCGAAGGCGGCUCUCUGGUCUGUAACUGACGCUGAGGUUCGAAAGCGUGGGUAGCAAACAGGAUUAGAUACCCGGGUAGUC